rnacentral:snRNA from 1 species
GGAUUACUCGCUAUCCUAAACAUUUGGAUCGAUAAAGAGAAAAUUAGCAUAGCCCUGGCUCAAGGAUGGUACGUUAAAUCAACAUUAUUCCCUUAUCUGU